AUGAAGAAGAGACAAAGCGGGGGACUUUCUUGCAUCCCCGUGUUCAAGCCCACAUUUGCCGACCGAAAGGCUUUUUUGUUUCGGAGUGGCAGUCGUAGGGAAUGCAGAAGAAAAUUCAGAUUCGCUACUUGUUCGGGUUUAACUGAAGGUGUGCAAGUUACAGGGAAAGUGGAUGAGAGGUGCCCACACGCAGAACGAUCCGCCCCGUUCCGCUGGAAAGGGGGGUGUAGCAGGGGCACGGCGGGGAGGGAACCUCUGGCGCCCGCCCCCCGCCUCCGGACUCGCUCUGCUGCCGCCAGUCGAGGCGGCGCGACGGGCCUGGGCACGGGGCAGCGCAUCCCUGGCCGGCGUGCCUGCUGCCCUGUGGUAACCCCGGGACCGCGCUCCGCCGGGGUGAACGACCGCCGCCGCCGGAGAGCGACGGGCGCUGCUCGCUCUGCCGGCGGCCGCAGCCACCCCUCAGCCGUCACCACAUCGCCUUAUCGCUUAGCGACACCGCGCGGGCCCCGCGAUUGGCAGGGCCGCGCCCCCGCCCACGUGCCCCUUCCUCCGCAUUGGGUGCCGUCCCGGGAUUGCGCGUCCGGCCCCGCGUCCUUUCUCUUUGUGCGCCGCGGGUGCUGCGCGAUCCAACCGCGCUUGGACCGGUGCCCACGGCGCCCUCGCCUCAGUCGCCGAGCCACGGUGCCGGCACGGCGCGGUCGUACGCCCCACGGUGUACCUACCCGCGGGGAGGUGGGAGAGGGACACGACAAGGUCCGCGCCCACGGGGGGGUCGGCGCUGCCCAGUCCCCGGCCAAGCCAGGCCAAAGCCAGGCACGCCCGCAGCGCCUAGCCUUUCCCGGCCUCCAGUACAGGGCGGGCGGGGCGCGAGAGCUUGGCCCCGUGCCGCGGGCAAGCGGGCCCGCCUGUGUCCGCCCCGGCCUGGCCAGGGCCCCCUCCUCCCGUGGAGUGGCUCCGGCGGGCAGGGGCUGGCAUCAUCCCGGGUCUGACCGGGGCAGCCCUGCCCCGACUCUCAUUGGACUGCGGCGAGGCGUAAACUGUCAGCCCAUGUGGCGUGGCCGCUGGAGGUGGCGACUGCUUAAAUAG
rnacentral:lncRNA from 1 species